rnacentral:rRNA from 1 species
AGAAUCAACGCUGGCGGCGUGCCUAACACAUGCAAGUCGCACGAGAAAGUGGAGCAAUCCACGAGUAAAGUGGCGCACGGGUGAGUAACACGUGAAUAAUCUACCUCCGAGUGGGGAAUAACUGAGAGAAAUCUUAGCUAAUACCGCAUAAUACCCACGGGUCAAAGCAGCAAUGCGCUUGGAGAGGAGUUCGCGGCCGAUUAGCUAGUUGGCGGGGUAAUGGCCCACCAAGGCGAUGAU